GUGAGGAAUUUUCCGCAAUGGGCGAAAGCCUGACGGAGCAAUGCCGCGUGAAGGAUGAAGGCCUAUGGGUUGUAAACUUCUUUUCUCAGAAAAGAAUUAUGACGGUAUCUGAGGAAUAAGCAUCGGCUAACUCUGUGCCAGCAGCCGCGGUAAGACAGAGGAUGCAAGCGUUAUCCGGAAUGAUUGGGCGUAAAGCGUCUGUAGGUUGUUUAAAAAGUAUUCUGUCAAAGAUUAGGGCUUAACCCUAGAUAGGCAGAAUAAACUUUUAAGCUAGAGUUUGGUAGAGGCAGAGGGAAUUCCCGGUGGAGCGGUGAAAUGCGUAGAUAUCGGGAGGAACACCAAAGGCGAAGGCACUCUGCUGGGCCAAUACUAACUCUGAGAGACGAAAGCGAGGGGAGCAAAUGGGAUUAGAAACCCCAGUAGUCC
rnacentral:rRNA from 1 species